AGGGGCUCAUAUCAAGUGUAAAUUUUGAAAGAUCUGUCACUGUGGGAAAAAAAACCCAAUUCAAUUUAAGGGACAGUAUGAGAAAGAUGAAAAGUAGAAAGAAGAUGCAGACAGAAUCUGAGAUACCAAAGCCAAACCUUUUCAUGAAAAUGGCGUGGCGGCACCUUCAAGUUCUGGCUUAUGUAUAUGUUUUUCUUUUUCUUUGUUUGGAUAUGACUCUUGAUAGAAAUUGGGUUGUGAUUUUGCAAUGGAAUUGGGUAUUUCCCACUCGAGGCCUCUCUCAUUCUAAUCAUUGCCC
rnacentral:lncRNA from 1 species